rnacentral:rRNA from 1 species
GACGAACGCUGGCGGCGUGCCUAAUACAUGCAAGUCGAACGCUCUUUUCUUAUCGAACUUCGGUUCACCAAGAAAAGGGAGUGGCGAACGGGUGAGUAACACGUGGGUAACCUACCCAUAAGAGGGGGAUAACAUCCGGAAACGGGUGCUAAUACCGCAUAGUUUUCUUGAUCGCAUGAUUGAGAAAGGAAGACGGCCUUUGUGCUGUCGCUUAUGGAUGGACCCGCGGCGUAUUAGUUAGUUGGUGAGGUAACGGCUCACCAAGACGAUGAUACGUAGCCGACUGAGAGGGU